AGAGUUUGAUCCUGGCUCAGGACGAACGCUGGCGGCGUGCUUAACACAUGCAAGUCGAACGGAAAGGCCCUUUCGGGGUACUCGAGUGGCGAACGGGUGAGUAACACGUGGGUGAUCUGCCCUGCACUCUGGGAUAAGCCUGGGAAACUGGGUCUAAUACCGGAUAGGACCGCAUGCUUCAUGGUGUGUGGUGCAAAGCUUUUGCGGUGUGGGAUGAGCCCGCGGCCUAUCAGCUUGUUGGUGGGGUAAUGGCCUACCAAGGCGACGACGGGUAGCCGGCCUGAGAGGGUGACCGGCCACACUGGGACUGAGAUACGGCCCAGACUCCUACGGGAGGCAGCAGUGGGGAAUAUUGCACAAUGGGCGCAAGCCUGAUGCAGCGACGCCGCGUGAGGGAUGACGGCCUUCGGGUUGUAAACCUCUUUCAGUAGGGACGAAGCGAAAGUGACGGUACCUACAGAAGAAGGACCGGCCAACUACGUGCCAGCAGCCGCGGUAAUACGUAGGGUCCGAGCGUUGUCCGGAAUUACUGGGCGUAAAGAGCUCGUAGGUGGUUUGUCGCGUUGUUCGUGAAAACUCACAGCCUAACUGUGGGCGUGCGGGCGAUACGGGCAGACUAGAGUACUGCAGGGGAGACUGGAAUUCCUGGUGUAGCGGUGGAAUGCGCAGAUAUCAGGAGGAACACCGGUGGCGAAGGCGGGUCUCUGGGCAGUAACUGACGCUGAGGAGCGAAAGCGUGGGUAGCGAACAGGAUUAGAUACCCUGGUAGUCCAA
rnacentral:rRNA from 1 species